rnacentral:rRNA from 1 species
CAUGUAGGCUGUACGGCAAGUUGGAGGUGAAAUCCCACGGCUCAACCGUGGAACUGCCUUCAAAACUACCGAACUAGAGUGCGAGAGAGGAUAGCGGAAUUCCAGGUGUAGGAGUGAAAUCCGUAGAUAUCUGGAAGAACAUCAGUGGCGAAGGCGGCUAUCUGGCUCGUAACUGACGCUGAGAUGCGAAAGCGUGAGUAGCAAACA